GAUCUGGAGAUGAAAACCGGUCAGGGUGGGAGAAAUUGCUACAGCCAGUUCUUUCACUCGGUGUUGUUUCGUGUGCCUCUUUUUCAAAUAUGCUGGAAAGGGGGCUCAGUUUCUCCCAGAUGUUUGAAAUAGUUCUCACAGAAUGUCUUAUUUAGGGAGAAGCAGUAAGUGUCCUUCGAAGGGUGAACUCCAGUCCCAUCAGGCCUCCAGAGGUGUGGCAGGAAUGGAAGCUGACAAAAUCUGGAAGGUCGUAGAUUGUCCUGAAACAGUACAGCUAAUCUUUGACUGUAAUUCAUCCUGCAAUUUUGGUUGUUAAGUCAUGAUGGUCACAAGGAACAAGCUUGCUGAAUCCACUGGCAGUUACUUCUGAGCGAACAACCAGAGUGUUGUGUUCUUUGUCUUCUUUACUUUAUUCUUAAGAAGAUCUGGUGUCAUGGUUAAAAUUCAGCUUCCAUAAUCCCCAGCCAAAGGACAUCGGCCUGCAUCUCUCUAUGGAACACUUUAAGGAUUUUUAGUAAGCCUUUUCAUUUUAAAGCACGAACAAUAAUAGUUUUAGAUAAAUGUGACAUUGCACAGCAUUUCUUUUGAAAUCAUUAAGUAGGAGAGAAUUUGUAUCUUAUAAUAAUGUGCAUUGAUGACGUUCAUAAACUAUAGGAGAAAAGGUGUCACUUGACUGAACUGCAAGCUUCUUUUAGUAUUCUGUUAUCAUAAGGACUAGAAGGGAGAAGGAACUAAACGCGCUCUGGAUAGAUAUUUCUAAAAAGUUCAGUCAGCCAAGGAUAAAAUUAAUAAGAGAAAAAGUGAGGAGGAGGAAUGGAAAUACUGGAAAAAAGGAGAGAGAAACUACAAGACGGACAGAGCAAACUUAUAAAUAAAAGGAAAGCUUGGUGAAGGAAAAGAUGUCUUGUCAGAAGAAAAACAUUUCUCUUUUCUUUUUAUAAAAGGAAGCUGAACUUAUUAAAACAAAAACUCCAUCCCCAUAUAUUUUCUGGAAGCUGACUCCAAAACGCUUGCUCAGCACAGCCACUGUCUGCCAUGCACUGAUCACAAGUUUUCUGCUGGAGGCAAGGCUGAGGAGCCAGCCUUGAAGAAAAGGGGGAAAGGGGAAGCUGUUGUGUGGCCAUUAGCAUUUCUUCUCUUGGUGGAACUGGUGCCACACAAGGAAGACAACAUCACAGAAUGCUUGACUUUGAUUAAGCCAGAACUGCCAUGGAAGCAGCUGUUGGGGGUAUCUUUUAUAGUUUUUGCUGGGACAAGAACAUUCCUGGUGAGGAUGACUGCAUAUGCAGCAUUGAAUUAAAGGAUCGGAGAGCCUGGACACACCACAUCGCUCCAUCCCACGCAUUAGAUCAGCCUUGAAAAUAAGACUCCAAAAAGUCCUGGCUUGGAAAACUAAUGCCAGUCUAUGGUAGAUGAGAAAUGGAAAGUUCUUCGACUUCUCCUUCAUCCACCACUUUUCAAUACUUCCUUCCUUUCUGCCUGUUGGGCAGUUUUAGUUUUUUAAUAUUGAAUGCAGAGGAAGGACCUCCCACAACAAUUGGCAUACUCACUCGCAUGCCAUUCUUAGUACAUACACUGACCAGGCAAACAUUUCACUGGGCUAUAUAUUGAAAGCAGUGUUUCAUUUAGAACUAAGUAGACCUAGGAUUCAGCACAGUUUAGAAAUCACACUGUCUCACUGGGACUUUCUUUCUUUGUAGUACCAUGUACUUGUGGUGCUAUUGUAGUUGCUCUUUCACUAAUAAAGUCAAUCUGCACACAAUGCUCUUUAUUGUACUAUAGGUAAGAAGCAAUACCUUCUCUUUUUUAUACACAGUAAGCCAGCUGGUAGCUCUGCAGGGGAUCAUACAGAAGCAGACAUGGCUCCCCUCAGUGUUAACAACAUAACAGAUAGAAUUUUUACUAUGUCUAUAGGUGUAGCAACGGGGCAAUUCAGUUGUUGAAUUUCUAUUCAUCACAAAUUUGAAGCACAGAAACAGUCUAGUGAAUUCCAGUCAGUAUUUAGAAAUGAAAACAUGGGUGCCCUCUUAGACCAAUCCUGUUUUCGUAUUUUGCAUGCUAAAACUUGUUUAGCUCCAGUCAACAAAAAUUAAUUAAACAAGUUCCUGUGCCUAAUAUAAGUAACAUAAUAUUAUAAUUUUGCCAUGGGGUGCUUUACUGUAUGCUCUGUUGAAAUCAAGAUAUAUUUAUUGACACAGCAUUACAACAAUAUACUAAGGAAAUUUCCAUAUAAAAAUGUAGAUGAAGUUAAUCUGGCAUUGUUCUUGACACAUUUACUGACUUCAAGUAGUAACUAUUUUCAGAUUGAUUGAUUAUUUUUUCAUCUGCUCAGAAACCUCGCAGAUAGCAGUGUCAGAAAUACCUGUUCUAUAGUUACCAGAUUCUCCUUUUUCUCCUUUUUGAAGAUAAAGGACAAUAUUUGUUCUCCUUCAAAUAUCUGGUAACAUCACGUUUUCUCUACAAUUUCUAAAAAAUAAUGCAUAGAGGCUUACCCAGACACCAAGAAAUAAUGGUUUCAGUUUUUGGAUGCAGUUCAUUUGGUUCAGAAGAUUUCAGAUUAGGAAUAAAUAGGUUUUCUUUGGGGACUUAUUUUCUGUCCAUCUCAAAUUACAUUUUCCCAAUCUGAUAUUAAAUAAGUAAAUGGAACACUUACUUUCUUGGUGAUUUUGUUUUGCUAGUUUUUGUUUUGUUCUACCAGGCUGAGUCAUAUUGUCUUAUUGCAUUAAGAACUCUUGCCUAUAUUGUUUAUUUCCAGUACUUUGACCAUAAGUAUAUAGGCAAUCCAUUUCAUGAAUUUAAGAGCCCAUGUUCUUCCUGGUUCUUUUUUUUUUUUUUAGAAAUGAAUUAAUAGGACAUAUUAUAACUAUAAUCUCCAUUUCUGCUCCAAUCACAGACUGUUAACUGAAUCCUUUGGUCAAUUUUGCAGGCAGCCUGCUAUCUUUCCCCCCAUGGAAGACUCUAAUGAGGAGCAACCCAUUUUGUGCCUGCAUUUGCCACAGAGAAAAUGCACCCUGUGGUCUCAGAAACCAAAUAUUAUACAUCAACACAAUUUCCAUUGUCAGGGGUUUACAUGUAUUAUCCUUUCACCUGUUUCCUUCGUACUAUAGACUAUAGAAGGAUGGAUAAGAAUGCCCGGGGAACAUUUCACAAACCUUUAAUCUAGUUGUAAUGCAGCACACUAUUUUAAUAUUUGCUACUCACAAUAACAAUAGUAAUACAAAAACAUACUAUCUUCUGCUAGGGAUAAUGGGAGUAGUAGUUCAGUGAAUCUGAAAGAUGGCAGCUUGAUCUAGUACUACAAUAUAGUAUCUAAUUUUGAGCUUGAAUUUCUUCAUCAGGAACAAGGAGCAGUGCUGCAGCUGGUGGUAAUAUUUUUAAAAAGGGAGGAAGGCAAGGUCCCUUGGGUAUUUGGUUUCCAAAAAUUGUGGGGGCCCUAAUUGGUAAUGUCAUGGCAUUACCGGGGAACAAAGACAACAUUUUCAGCCUAAUGUAGGGAGUACGAGUUGGAAGGAUUUUGAAAUAACAUGGAUGCCUUUAUCAUUAUCAAGUCAUCAGAUUUCAAAGAGAAAAUGUUGCUGCCAUUUUUUUGUGCGUGCAGAUUUGAAAAGACUAUAACAAUGCUUUACCCUCUGCAUGGACUUAAGCAAUUUGCCUUUAACAGCCCCCCUUCCCCAAACAAUAGUGUCCCAAAAUUUUAAUGUUAAAGAAUUUUUAAAAAACCUGGCCUCACAUUUACCACCAAAGACAUGCAAUUCUAUCAGUAAGAUACACAUAGUAAACCCAAUGAUGAUGAUGAUUUUAAAGUUGAAGUGUCAACGUAUCAAUUUAAAAAAAAUGAGAAUGUUCCCACCUUUAUUUUAUUUUUAUUUUUUUUACAUAUCUUUGCUUCCUAUAAAAACAACAGUAUUUUUUGCAAGGCUAUUUUUGACAGAUGCCAUUAGAUAAAGGGAAGUAUCUCUUGUUCUUCCCCAGCAGCUGUUGCACCUGAAGAAGUAAUUAGAAAGAGAGGCCAGAACACUAAUUUGCUACAUGCAAGCCUUCCAAAUGAGAAGGUAUCACCAUCACAAAGGGAAAGAACAGAAUUCUUAAUCCAAGCAAAGGGGAACUGUCCAAAAUUUUUCACUCCAUUUGCUGGCAGCUCAAGGGUGACCUUUGACCUGUUCCCACCAGCCUUUUAAAAGGAGAAACAAAUUUCAGAUGAGGAAAAGAGAACAUUGUCAGUGGACAAAAUGUUGAGCAUGUUCUUACAAAAGUGAUAAUUAUUCCAGUGCUCAAGCUUUACAUUUCUCUCAGUAGCUUUAAAGAAAAGAACAAAAUUAAUUUGUUGUUUAAUUUGCCAUUUCAUUUCUCAGUGUAUUUGGGCUUGAAAAAAAGGGAUGAAAUGGGAAAGGAAAGUACCCAAGGGUCUAAAGAAAUGAUGCGCCAAGCAGAAUAUCUGAAUUUAUCAUUAAUAUCUACAGUUGAUAAUAUGAACGUUAAGAUGCCUUUUUAGUCCCAAUUGAUAAGACUGGAAUUUUUUUUAAUUGGUACUGACUGCAAAUAUUUCACAUUUGUAGAGAAUUGUUUGAAAUAGUGCAAAGUCUCCAUGCAUAGACAAUUUAGAUUUUUACAGACACAGAAGGUGUGUAACCCACAUACUCUGAAAAGUCCAGAGAUCCUCUCCAAAGGUCUUCACUUGCAGCUUUGACCAAACACUUAGAAGACAAAAUCCCAAGGUAUCGCUGUAUAUAUAUGUGAGCCAAGUAACCUAGGUUAUUGGGCCUUGAUUGAGCAGAAAAAGGCCAUUCAAAUUAGAGUUAUUUUUUUUUUUUACAUUCUUCUCCUAUAUGCAGUACACCAAGUGAGCCUGGACUGACAGGAACUAUGGGAAGGUUCUCAUGAUUCCUAAACACUGUGGGAACAUCCUGGUUGUAGGGCAGUAUUCAGGGUUGUGGGAAUCCUACAGAGAAUACAGCAUUAUUAGACACCUCUCCUUCUUCUUCAAGGGCUGAAAAAAACUGGUAUAGACAAUCUCAUCAAAUAUUUAAACACUCUCCACCCCCACCCCCGCAUGCACACACAUACAUUUUUCUCAUAGUUUGUAAUCAAGUUUGUUAAAAUACGUAAUAUUAAUUAUGAUUUGAAGAUAUGGAUUGUCUCCAUAUUCUUAAUUUGUUUUUAUCUCAUUAGUACAAUGACUUGUCUGUAGCUGUAAUAUUAUUGUCUUGCACUACACCUCAUGAAUUGCCACUAUACCAAAAAAUAAGCAUGGCUGUUUCUUUGAAAGUAUCUACAAACAAGUUUCAGCAAUCUAAGAGGCAAUACUGCUUACUUUAUGAGUAAUAUUGUAAUGCUAAUAGUUAAGUAACAAAUUAUUUCUAUUGUAAAUUAGACUAGAGCCAGUGAAAUCUGUUGUGUACUCCAUUCGUGUGCAAAUGAUGAAAACACAUGGCGAUGCUGAACAAACACUUUAUUCACCUUCUACAACAACCAAGCAAAAGCAAAAGGCAUGCAGGCCUUUUUAUAUGGCCAGAAACCCGGACAAUGUCA